UACGUAGGGUGCGAGCGUUAAUCGGAUUUACUGGGCGUAAAGCGUGCGCAGGCGGCCCGUUAAGACAGGUGUGAAAUCCCUGGGCUCAACCGAGGAAUUGCGCUUGUGACUGGCGGGCUCGAGUACGGUAGAGGGGGGUGGAAUUCCUGGUGUAGCAGUGAAAUGCGUAGAGAUCAGGAGGAACACCGAUGGCGAAGGCAGCCCCCUGGGCCUGUACUGACGCUCAUGCACGAAAGCGUGGGGAGCAAACAGG
rnacentral:rRNA from 1 species